rnacentral:lncRNA from 1 species
AUAAAUUUCCCUCUUAGCUCUGCUCUUACUGCAUUCCGUACCAUGGGUUGGCAACCUCCUGCAUCUCAUGCUGCACCAUCUAACACUGCCUUUGGCAGCCUCCAAUCUGAUGCUCAGGCUAUGCCUCCAUUCCCAUCAGUAUUCCAGCAAGUGAGAGCCAAUUCUUCAGAUUCCCACCAUCAAGCUGGAACUUUGAAGUGAAUCCUGGCAGUAAUCAGCAAAGCAUCUGUAUCCAUCCAUCUUUCACCCCCACCUUCUGACCUGGCAGAAGAAAUCACGAUGUUACCAUGGAAGACUCAGCAAUCCCAGACUGAAGCAAGAGCUUGUGCGUGUCUGAGGAGGGUGAUUCUGAGAAACCCAACAAGAGAAGCUUUGUGAAACCAAAACAAGCAGGUGCUGCUGAAAAGGCCGGUCACCUCUGUGGGUAGCAGAGGUAUCUCACUGAAAAUCUCUGGGGAGCUAUGGCCAGGGCCCCCAAGACUUAGCCAUCCAAGGGACAGACAAGGGGAGAAUUUAUUUCCUGGCUUUGUUCCCUCUUUGUUCUAUAGUCAUCUAUUUGGAGAUUAACUUUGCAGAUGUUGCAGAAGUCAGACGUGGAAAAAAGCAGAUGCUACUGGCCAGAAUUGGCGUGACAGCCAGGGCUGGAUAAGAGGCCACCAGAGGUGCCAGGCCACAGAGUGGGAAGGUGUGUCCUCAGAGUUGGACUGGAGUCCAUAGCUUUAGGGACAAGCUCUCAAAUGUUCAUCUUAACUUAUAACUCAUCAUCCAACCUCACAGAUCUGUUGAGGGUUUAGUAAGAAUGAAUACUACAGUGGUUUGUAAAACUGUGAGAACUAGUGAAUAUCAACUAGUCUUUCCCUGGUUGUAGGUGAUCAGCCCAAAGUACAAGAACAACAACAAAAAACCGUCUGACCCCUCUGUCAUCUGCCGUGUCUCUGCUCCCCACUUCUUGUGUCUUUUCCCUGUCCCCACAGACCUGACAGUGUCUCUUGGGGGAAUUAAAGACACUUGGAAGCUGCUACCCUGUGGAAGGGAAAGAAUAGUGUCUCCAAACAUGAAAGGAAAUUGUUCUCCUCAUAAGCAUCUUUUCCUAUAAUUGCAUCUUCCCUACUGCUCCAGCAAAUGAAGUUUAAAUAUUUAACAAGAAUGUCAGCACCAUUUGGGUGGCUGGGGCUCCCUGAAAAUGAGGCUUCAGGGGCCUGGAACCUGCAUAGACCAUGCCUGGGUUGUAGCAGGCUCUGUCCCCUCCCUCACAAGCGGGUGACCGGCCAUCAAGCACUUGGUCUGAGCUGUGACUGCUGCCCAACAUCUGCCACACAGAACCUGAUGGGGCUGCUGCCCUCAGCUGCCAGGAGUUGGGCCAUCUGGCAGGUGUCUGUUUCUCCAAACUGAAGAGUGCACAUAGCAUGGCACUGUGUUUAGUGGGGUGUGGGCCAAAUGCUGCUGCUACUCACCACCGAGAAAUGGGGGUGCUGGUCUUCAAGGCAGACAUAGCACCCCAACAGGCUGAGUGGCUUCUCCUGUCUCCUGACUUCUGCUGAUCUACCACUUUCUUUUCCAGAUAUUUUAUAAAGUAAUAAAAUAUCAAACUAUACUUACAAAGCAUAAGCAUAUCUGUAACUAUUU